rnacentral:rRNA from 1 species
CAGCCGCCGCGGGAAUACGAAGGGUGCAAGCGUUAAUCGGAAUUACUGGGCGUAAAGCGUGCGUAGGCGGUGAGUUAAGUCUGCUGUGAAAUCCCCGGGCUCAACCUGGGAAUGGCAGUGGAUACUGGCUCGCUAGAGUGUGUCAGAGGAUGGUGGAAUUCCCGGUGUAGCGGUGAAAUGCGUAGAGAUCGGGAGGAACAUCAGUGGCGAAGGCGGCCAUCUGGGACAACACUGACGCUGAGGCACGAAAGCGUGGGGAGCAAACAGGAUUAGAUACCCCGGUAGUCCCUGUCUCUAUACA